GUCGGUGUAACUGUAACAGACCCAGAGUGGAAGAGUCAAAGAGCAUUUCCUUCCCAGCAAUAACAUUCAAAAGGAAAUGAGGGAAACCCAGUGAUGGCUCAACAAAUAAUAUGUACGACAAAAGGAUCCAUACUACGUUUUGAAAUUAAAAAAAGGACUCCUAAAGGGCUUCUGAAAUGUGUGUUUAUGUAUGGAAAAUUGGAACAUUUAUUUCCUCAGUUUUUUGUUCUGUAGACAGACCUCAAACAUCACAAGAGAAUAAAAGUAAAGUAGAUUCAUAUUCACUUUAUUCAGAUAUAACUGCGUUUAAACUUCUUGGUAGAGGAAUAUUGAAUUUGUGGAAUUGACCUUGAAAAAUA